AAGCGUUUGCGACCAGACUCGCCCGCGGGGUUCAGCCGGCAUUCGUGCCGGUGUACUUCCCCGUGGGCGGGCCAGCGUCGGUUUGGGCGGCCGGUCAAAGGCCCUCGGAAUGUAUCACCUCUCGGGGUGUCUUAUAGCCGAGGGUGCAAUGCGGCCUGCCUGGACCGAGGAACGCGCUUCGGCUCGGACGCUGGCGUAAUGGUCGUAAAUGA
rnacentral:rRNA from 1 species